UCUUUGUUUUUUCCUAUAUAUAAACAUAAAUAGGUAAUGAGCACUUUCUACUCAAGCAAUAAAAAGUCCCAAAAUAUUACUCCCUGCGUCCAGUGAAGUGGCAUAAAAAUCACAUGGCUCUGACAGAGAUGGCAGCCACAGCUUCUAGGAGAUUCCUCGUGUCUUUCCAGUUUUAUUUAUUGUAUUGCUUCUU
rnacentral:lncRNA from 1 species